rnacentral:rRNA from 1 species
UCUUUCGCAAUGGACGAAAGUCUGACGGAGCAACGCCGCGUGAGUGAAGAAGGCCUUCGGGUCGUAAAACUCUGUUGCCGGGGAAGAACAAGUGCCGUUCGAACAGGGCGGCGCCUUGACGGUACCCGGCCAGAAAGCCACGGCUAACGCCGCGCCAGCCGCCGCGGUAAUACGUAGGUGGCAAGCGUUGUCCGGAAUUAUUGGGCGUAAAGCGAGCGCAGGCGGCUUCAUAAGUCUGAUGUGAAAUCUUGCGGCUCAACCGCAAGCGGUCAUUGGAAACUGGGAGGCUUGAGUGCAGAAGAGGAGAGUGGAAUUCCACGUGUAGCGGUGAAAUGCGUAGAGAUGUGGAGGAACACCAGUGGCGAAGGCGGCUCUCUGGUCUGUAACUGACGCUGAGGCGCGAAAGCGUGGGGAGCAAACAGG